rnacentral:ncRNA from 1 species
UACCAUUUUCUUCCAGCUGGUGCUGUCUAGAGGUUUAGAUGGCUAAAAGGGAAUCUGGUGAGAAUCCAGAACUGACGCGCAGCGGUUAUAGAGAACGAACACUCAAAAGACACUGCAUCUAGAUUGAUGUGGGAAGUCGAGUUAGUAGGCCAAUCAAGCUCUAAAGUCCGAAUACCUGCCAGCAACUGAGCCAAUAA